rnacentral:rRNA from 1 species
GUGGGGAAUAUUGGACAAUGGGCGAAAGCCUGAUCCAGCCAUGCCGCGUGUGUGAAGAAGGUCUUCGGAUUGUAAAGCACUUUAAGUUGGGAGGAAGGGCAGUAAGUUAAUACCUUGCUGUUUUGACGUUACCGACAGAAUAAGCACCGGCUAACUUCGUGCCAGCAGCCGCGGUAAUACGAAGGGUGCAAGCGUUAAUCGGAAUUACUGGGCGUAAAGCGCGCGUAGGUGGUUCAGUAAGUUGGAAGUGAAAUCCCCGGGCUCAACCUGGGAACUGCUUUCAAAACUGCUGAGCUAGAGUACGGUAGAGGGUGGUGGAAUUUCCUGUGUAGCGGUGAAAUGCGUAGAUAUAGGAAGGAACACCAGUGGCGAAGGCGACCACCUGGACUGAUACUGACACUGAGGUGCGAAAGCGUGGGGAGCAAACAGGAUUAGAAACCCUAGUAGUCC